rnacentral:rRNA from 1 species
CGACCCCAGGUCAGGCGGGAUCA